CCUACGGGUGGCAGCAGUGGGGAAUAUUGCACAAUGGGCGCAAGCCUGGUGCAGCCAUGCCGCGUGUGCGAAGAAGGCCUUCGGGUUGUAAAGCACUUUCAGCGGGGAGGAAGGCGGUGAGGUUGAUAACCUCAUCGAUUGACGUUACCCGCAGAAGAAGCACCGGCUAACUCCGUGCCAGCAGCCGCGGUAAUACGGAGGGUGCAAGCGUUAAUCGGAAUUACUGGGCGUAAAGCGCACGCAGGCGGUCUGUCAAGUCGGAUGUGAAAUCCCCGGGCUCAACCUGGGAACUGCAUUCGAAACUGGCAGGCUAGAGUCUUGUAGAGGGGGGUAGAAUUCCAGGUGUAGCGGUGAAAUGCGUAGAGAUCUGGAGGAAUACCGGUAGCGAAGGCGGCCCCCUGGACAAAGACUGACGCUCAGGUGCGAAAGCGUGGGGAGCAAACAGGAUUAGAUACCCCGGUAGUC
rnacentral:rRNA from 1 species